UUGGUCGGAUCUCUCUUGGAAACCUUGUGGUGGUGUUGGUUUUUGCACAAUACUGAUAAUUAGUGACUUUGACGCAAUUAGUCACUUUGGUCACCGGAAAAUUACACGGUGACCGAGUUAUUUCUUCCCGGAUGUCGUUGAAUGACGCACAACGAUAAUUAUCUCACCAAAGCUCUGAUACUAUGUGAGAAAGCACGGGAGAAAAAUAUAACUGAUAUUAAACAUGAUACAAUGAGCCCUAUAUAUAAUACACAUAACCUAACCUACUCCUAAUAAACAUUUGAGAAAGCACGGGAGAAACAUAUAUAAUUGAUAUUAAACAUGAUACAAUGAGCCCUAUAUAUAUACACAUAACCUAUCCUACUCCUUAAUAAACAUUGGAUUAGGCUACUCCUAAUACACAUUGAAUUAGGGUUCUACUAUUACAUAUUCUAACAGUUACAAUAUAAAGUGGGAGCCAAUACAAAAGAAGGGAAAUACACAUUUCCGAGUGCUAUGGUACACGAACAUGGUAUUUACAUUAAUAACAGUAAUAUGGCUUUGAGAGACCAUGACUGCCUCAGUAGCAACAGCAGUUCAGCUGAAAUGGACAGUGAACAAACAACAAGUACCAUUAAUAAGAUUAGUUCUACUUUUAAUGUGUUGAGUAAGCUUGGUGGAUGGUACGUAAAGAACGUAGGAAUGAUAUGUUCGUAACAAACUCAAAUCCAACCCAAACCCAUUUGAAGGUGAGUGCACCAAAUCAUGUACUACCCCCCAUGUACUACCCCCAAACUCUCCAAUUAAAAGGAAAUUACAGAAAGGACAACUAUUAAUCCUCCUAUCUUGCUGUAAAAUACUAAUUUGGUGGAGGGAUAAAUAUUCCAAAGAUGCUU
rnacentral:lncRNA from 1 species